rnacentral:rRNA from 1 species
AUUGAACGCUGGCGGCAGGCUUAACACAUGCAAGUCGAGCGAGUGGCGGACGGGUGAGUAAUGUCUGGGAAACUGCCUGAUGGAGGGGGAUAACUACUGGAAACGGUAGCUAAUACCGCAUACCCUCAGAUGUUCCCAGAUGGGAUUAGCUUGUAGGUGGGGUAAGGGCUCACCUAGGGGACGAUCCCUCGCUGGUCUGAGAGGAUUACCAGCCACACUGGGACUGAGACACGGUCCAGACUCCUACGGGAGGCAGCAGUGGGGAAUAUUGCACAAUGGGCGCAAGCCUGAUGCAGCCAUGCCGCGUGUAUGAAGAAGGCCUUCGGGUUGUAAAGCACUUUCAGCGAGGAGGCGUUACUCGCACAAGAAGCACCGGCUAACUCCGUGCCAGCAGCCGCGGUAAUUC